AAACCUCCAGACAGUAGAGGACGAAAGGGAAAGGUUUUCUCUUGCAAGGUGUGGUACCGGUGAAAAAUGAAGUGGACAGUUGUUGGAGUGUUGAUUACUCUUCUGCUUAUUUCUCUUGUUUGUGGAGAACAAGAUAGCCAGCAGACGAUCCACGAUCAUUUACAAUCGGAACACCUCAUCUCUAUCCAACGUACGUCAAGCAGGAAAGACUCAUCUGGUAUACGAAGGCAGCGGGGACGUCACUGACCAAUCAGGGGAGACCCCUGUCUACAAGGUCACCCGACCUCCUCCGUCUUCCAAACCCACCAA